rnacentral:sRNA from 1 species
CUAGAGUUGCGGGCUUUGCCUGCCAUCUCUUACCCAUGUCUUUUGAGUACCUUACGUUUCCUCGGCGGGUCCGCCCGCCGACUGGACAAUUUAAACCACUUGCAGUUGCAAUCAGCGUCUGAAAAAACUUAAUAGUUACAACUUUCAACAACGGAUCUCUUGGUUCUGGCAUCGAUGAAGAACGCAGCGAAAUGCGAUAAGUAGUGUGAAUUGCAGAAUUCAGUGAAUCAUCGAAUCUUUGAACGCACAUUGCGCCCCUUGGUAUUCCAUGGGGCAUGCCUGUUCGAGCGUCAUUUGUACCUUCAAGCCUUGCUUGGUGUUGGGUGUUUGUCUCGCCUCUGCGCGUAGACUCGCCUCAAAACAAUUGGCAGCCGGCGUAUUGAUUUCGGAGCGCAGUACAUCUCGCGCUUUGCACUCAGAACGACGACGUCCAAAAGUACAUUUUUACACUCUUGACCUCGGAUCAGGUAGGGAUACCCGCUGAACUUAAGCAUAUCAAUAAGCGGAGGAA